UGACCAAAAGGCUACAAAGAAAAUCAGUUUCAUUCCUACACAUUAAGUCUCAUGAACAUUUUGUUCAAAUCAAGAUAAUAAAAGUAUUUCCCAACAUCAUUUACAUCCCAAAAUCAUGCCAUGGGUGGUCAAUCCACAACAAGCAUUAAGCAAAGACACAAAAUACGAAAAUAGAACAUAAAUAUAUCAAAAGAAACAUGAGAGUUCAGAAUUGGCUACACUUACCCCUUACAACAAUUGAAAUCAACCACUCAUGGAGAUGAGCAACUCAAAUUACACUUGGAAAUGUAAGAAAUGGAUGAAAAACACAUGAACACUUGAGUUUUUCUCUCCUUAGUAGAACAAUACUAAACUUACAACUGACACAAUGAUGAUACAAAAGGAAAGGGGGAAUCAUAAUAUAUUCAUGAGUCAACCCUAAAAAUACAAAAGGUAGCAUUUCCAUUUUUAGUGCAGACUCACUCAGCCAUGGAUUUUUGUUGUCCAAGUUUAUCCUUUUUGAGUUUUAGUACUCCAAACUUGCUCUCAGAGAUACUUCUUCCAUUUAAGAUCUUUUAUCUACAAAACGAUACGAUAAAUUACUACAAAGUAGCCAAGAAAUCAAAAUAUUAUAAUAGAGUUUAUAAAAUAGUAAACUUUAGUGGAGGCCCGCAGUGAUAUUGGCGUGCAAACCAUUCGUCUGACUCGGGUAUAGGGGCGAAAAACUAAUCAAACCUUCUAGUAACUGGUUCCCUUUGAAGUUUCCCUUAUGAUAGUUAGAGCCCACAGGCGAGUUCUAUCGGGUAAAGCCAAUGAUUAAAGGCAUCAAGGGCACAAAUCCCUCGACCUAUUCUCAAACUUUAAAUAGGUAGGACGGCACGACUACUCUAUUCAGAAAUAUCACGAAAUUAAGAGCUCCAAGUGGGCCAUUUUUUGUAAGCAGAAUAGGCGAUGCGAGAUGAACCAUAAAUUAGGUUACAGUGCCCAACUGUGCGCUAACCUAGACCCCACAAAGUGUGUUGGUCGGUUAAGACCGCAUGAUGAUGGUCAUGGAAGUAGAAAUCCUCUAAGGAGUGUGUAAGAACUCAUCUACCAAAUUAACUAGCCCCGAAAAUGGAUGGCACUAAAGCGUGCGACAUAUACCCAGUCAUCGGGGCAAGGACCAAGCCCCGAUGAGUAGGAGGGUACGACUGUCGCUGCAAAACCCAGGGCGAGAGCCCAAGCAGAGUGGUCGUCGGUGUAGUCUUGGUGAUAGUAUAAAAUAUUCAAAUGAGAACUUUGAAGGUCGAAGAGGGGAUAGUUUCUAUGUGAAUGGCACUUGCACAUGGGUUAGUAGUUCCUAAGGGAUGGGGAAAGCCCGUCUGAUAGCACUUUGUGUGUGUACUUCGAAAAGGAAUUGGGUAAAAAUUCCUGAACCAAGACGUGGCAGCUGACGGCAAAAUUAAGGAGUUUGAAGACGUCGGUGAGGGCUCCGAAAAGAGUUAUCUUUUUUUUAACAGUCUGCCCAUCCUAGAAACAGCUCAGCCAAAGGUAGGGUUCAGCGACUGGAAUAGCACUGCAUGUCGCAUGGUGUCCAGUGCGCCCCCAACGGUCCUUGAAAAUCCAAGGACCAAGUGCCUCUCAUGCCCGGUCAUACUCAUAACCGCAUCAAGGCUCCAAGGUGAACAACCUUUGGUCGAUGGAACAAUGUAGGCAAGGGAAGUCGACAAAAUGGAUCCAUAACCUCAGGGGAAAAAUUGGCUCUAAAGGCUAGGCACGGGGGCCCUAGUCCCGAACCUGUCAACUUUCAGUGGACCGCUCAAGUUGCUUCCAUGGUGAGAGCGGGUUGUCACAUGCCGGUCGGGGGACGAAUUGGGAACGGCCCCUUCAGGGCCUCUUCCGAAGGCGUCAAACAGCCAACUCGGAGUUUAUUAUGUUCCCUGCGGAUGUUGACGCAAUGUGAUUUCUGCCCAAUGUUCUAAAUGUCAAAGUGAAGAAAUUCAACCAAACGCAGGUAAACGGGGAGAGUAACUAUGACUCUCUUAAGGUGGCCAAAUGUCAUGUCAUCUAAUUAGUAACAUGCGUGAAUGGAAAUGGCACGUGUCUGUGUGUGUGUGUGUGUAUGUGCUAUGGAAAUGGCAUUUGUGUGUGUGGACAUCAUCACCAUU
rnacentral:rRNA from 1 species